AACCCCCAUCUCCUUGGUUUAUUAUGUUUUAACCACGUCUCCUUCUUGAUUUAAAGUUUGCAACUUCAUCAUUGAUGGUGCCACCAGCCAUCAUCGAUUUUCUUAACCCCCUAUCUUUUUCAACAAAACACCCCCACCAUAACAUUAUUUCUUGAGACUUGAAACCCCUAUCUCUGGACUGCAACAGCCCCUAAAGGACCAAUAUAGUGAUGGUGAAACCCUAGUCACCGUACAGCGGCGGAUUUGUGGUUGGAAUUGGAGACAACAAUCAAUUUCGGCUAUAUCAUUUUUUUCCAUCUAACAGGUCUGUAUCUCUCUAUAGAUCUCGGUUUCUGGCGAUAUCGUUUUUCCACUUACAUGUAUGGGUUUGUUUGCUUCAUCUAGAAGAAGAAGAAGAACAUGGUGUCUGGUUGCAAAUGGUGAUUUAGGAUUUAUAAUUGUAUAAAGUAAAUUGAGGUAUAUAUGUGCUGAAAAUUAAAACUUAAGCGAUAGUUAAGAUUGGGGUUUUAUUUGAUCUGCUUUACAAGUACCUUAUUUUCCAUCUCUUUUAAGGUCGUUACUGAGAUUCUGAAACAACCUAACAGCAACUACUUCGAUGGACAAUGAAGAGUUGACUUUUGUAGGAAUGAAGUUAAUGUCUUGGAUGUUCUUAGAUGGAACCAAAUCGAACUCUCCUUUAAGAAAUAGAGUUGUGUAACCCGUUACCAGCAUGUGGUUUGAGUGGGUGGGGGAUUGGGGAUGAAGAUGAAAUCAAGAGUUUUUAAUGAUAAGGGUAUUUUUGUAAUUUCACACCCAUUUAACUGAGAAAACUAAUAUCCAUCCACUUCAGGGACUAUCCGAGUAACAACUGAUCAAACCACAGGGAGCAAGAAUAUAAUUUUAGAAAGUUGGGACUAAAGGUGAAAUUUCGACAAACCAUAGGGACUAUCCAAACAUUUUACUCAUAUAUUUAUGGAUAAGGGUUCCUCUACCAAGGACAUUUUUCCUACAAAGUGUAAGAAAUCUAUGUAGUCAUUGUGUUUUAAGACUAGGCAUAUCGUUUUAGAUUCUUUUGGCAUGAUAUAAUAUAAAAAAUACUAAACGUAAUAAUUUAAAACACAAUUAAAUGUAUAAUAGGCAUGAAAUCUAAAACACUAUGCGAUGAAAGUUAAUUAGUGUGGUUUAUAUUAAUGUCUAUACUACACAUGAUUGUGUUUUAAAUUGUUAUGUUUGGUGUUUUUCUAUAUGAUACAAUACAAAAAGAAUCUAAACCCAAUGCCUAAAAUUUAAAAUACAAUGUUUUUAUAGAUUUCUCACACUUUAUAGAAAAAUGACAUUUGUAGACUAACCAUACCCUUUAUUUUUGUUAUAUUAUUGUUUGCAGAUACUCUGAAUGUGACGCAUUGAAAGGUGACGCAUUGAAAGGUGACGCAUUGAACUAGUAAAUGUGAAGUGCCAAAAGAUGAUUUCACUAUUCAAAUAAAAAGAAGUAUAUCACCUCCUAUUAAUAUAUAGAAUAGAAUAUAUUUUUUACAAAAGAAAUUUCUUUGAAAUCAGAUUCCCAUCGAAUGCAUUAUAUGUAAUUGUUUUUAGAUCUGAAUUUAGUUUCAAUUUAUAAUCUU
rnacentral:lncRNA from 1 species